AUGUGCGUACAGCCCGUACCGAUGAGUACAUGGAUGUUCAUACCCUACUCUAGUCCCUACGUAUCUGGCCUAAUUGGGGAGAGUGACACAAACCUCUUCCAGAUAAAGCCCAGCCCUCUGCGUCCCUCCCUGGGGACGACCCGCACGCUGACCUCAGGAUGCAGCGUCACCAACAUGCCUCUGUGCUUGACUGCAUGUGCUGGCCGCUGCGACAGACACUUGGGGAGCACGUUUGUAGACACACGCCUUGGGAGAAUAGCAUCCCGCCACAGCACCUUUCUGCGACCUUGCCAUUUCCCUCACUAUUCCGCCUCAAGACAUCACUGUCCUAAACCAAAGGGUCCUGUUCUCACGGGUCUGCAGUUAGAAGCCCCUAUUAUUGUUUCUCCAUCUGUAAAAACAGAAUGGCCAGACUCCCCAGUUGACAGACAAGGUCACCAAGAGGAUGUGACUUCCGGGUGACCCCAUGAGGGAGUCCUCACCCCCUCCCCAUUCUUGGAAUAUGUGCAUCGCCCACCAUUGCCACAGUGGGAGCUGUUGAGGCUGCAGUGGGAACUGUUGCAAGGCCACAGUCUUGAGAAAGUAAAGUGUUGCCGUGGCCAUCUGGACUGAAUGCAUGACUGAGCCCAGUUACAGCCUUUAUACAAACUUUUGAGAUUCUGAUGGUGGGUGCGGAGAUCUACUUGUCUUGCAGCCGCCCAGACAACCUCCUGUGUGAGUUCCCUGGCUUAUCAUCCUUGCCAGCAACCAAUCUGGACCAGCUGCCUCCUUCUUCUGUGUCUCCCUGCUGUCCUUGCACCCCCCCCUCCCAGGUGCGGGGGCCAGUGUGUGAAUCAACACCAGUUGAGCUCACAGUUCUAAUCAGUGACUUGGCACAAAAGUAGACAUUGCUUGAAUACAGUAUAAUGUAUGGGUGGGUAAUGCAAGACACAAGCUGCCCUAGAAAAAAAGCCCCACGAAACGGAGAGCUCAUUGGCACACUUCCAGUUGAUGAAAGUCCAGUGUUUCCACAUGGGAAAUAGGCAUGGAAGAGAGGUGACUUCCUUUUCCACAUGCCUCCUGCAUCAGAUCUGUGUGUGCCCAUUAUGGUGGACUUCAGGGAUGUGAGAAACGCUCUCCACCAUUCCUAACGGGAGGCUUUUAGUGCUCUUUCUAGUUUUGCUUUCCUUGGACUUUUCAUGAGUAUUGAUGUUGGAAGACGGAAUAAAACCAGACACAGCUAGUUAGCUUCCA
rnacentral:lncRNA from 1 species